rnacentral:rRNA from 1 species
GGGUUGUAAACUGCUUUUGCGAGGGAAGAAACGGUGCUAUUUAUAGCAUUUUGACGGUACCUCGAGAAUAAGCACCGGCUAACUCCGUGCCAGCAGCCGCGGUAAUACGGAGGGUGCAAGCGUUAUCCGGAAUCACUGGGUUUAAAGGGUGCGUAGGCGGCAUUAUAAGUCAGAGGUGAAAGCCCGUCGCUUAACUAUGGAAUUGCCUUUGAACUGUAGAGCUUGAAUCAAGUUGAGGCUGGUGGAAUGUGGCAUGUACCGGUGAAAUGCAUAGAUAUGCCAUAGAACACCAAUUGCGAAGGCAGCUGGCUGGGCUUGAAUUGACGCUGAAGCACGAAAGCGUGGGGAGCGAACAGGAUUAAAUACCCUGGUA